UACGUAGGGUGCGAGCGUUAAUCGGAAUUACUGGGCGUAAAGCGUGCGCAGGCGGUUUUGUAAGCCAGAUGUGAAAUCCCCGGGCUUAACCUGGGAAUGGCAUUUGGGACUGCAAGGCUGGAGUUUGGCAGAGGAGACUGGAAUUCCUGGUGUAGCAGUGAAAUGCGUAGAUAUCAGGAGGAACACCUAUUGCGAAGGCAGCUCGCUGGGACGUAACUGACGCUGAGACGCGAAAGCGUGGGGAGCAAACAGG
rnacentral:rRNA from 1 species